rnacentral:rRNA from 1 species
CCUACGGGAGGCAGCAGUAGGGAAUCUUCCGCAAUGGACGAAAGUCUGACGGAGCAACGCCGCGUGAGUGAUGAAGGCUUUCGGGUCGUAAAACUCUGUUGUUAGGGAAGAACAAGUGCUAGUUGAAUAAGCUGGCACCUUGACGGUACCUAACCAGAAAGCCACGGCUAACUACGUGCCAGCAGCCGCGGUAAUACGUAGGUGGCAAGCGUUAUCCGGAAUUAUUGGGCGUAAAGCGCGCGCAGGUGGUUUCUUAAGUCUGAUGUGAAAGCCCACGGCUCAACCGUGGAGGGUCAUUGGAAACUGGGAGACUUGAGUGCAGAAGAGGAAAGUGGAAUUCCAUGUGUAGCGGUGAAAUGCGUAGAGAUAUGGAGGAACACCAGUGGCGAAGGCGACUUUCUGGUCUGUAACCGACACUGAGGCGCGAAAGCGUGGGGAGCAAACAGGAUUAGAUACCCUGGUAGUCCACGCCGUAAACGAUGAGUGCUAAGUGUUAGAGGGUUUCCGCCCUUUAGUGCUGAAGUUAACGCAUUAAGCACUCCGCCUGGGGAGUACGGCCGCAAGGCUGAAACUCAAAGGAAUU